ACAGGUGCUGCAUGGCUGUCGUCAGCUCGUGUCGUGAGAUGUUGGGUUAAGUCCCGUAACGAGCGCAACCCUUGUCCUUAGUUACCAGCACGUUAUGGUGGGCGACUCUAAGGAGACUGCCGGUGACAACCGGAGGAAGGUGGGGAGUGACGUCAAGUCAUCAUGGCCCUUACGGCCUGGGCUACACACGUGCUACAAUGGUCGGUACAAAGGGUUGCCAAGCCGCGAGGUGGAGCUAAUCCCAUAAAACCGAUCGUAGUCCGGAUCGCAGUCUGCAACUCGACUGCGUGAAGUCGGAAUCGCUAGUAAUCGUGAAUCAGAAUGUCACGGUGAAUACGUUCCCGGGCCUU
rnacentral:rRNA from 1 species